rnacentral:rRNA from 1 species
UACGUAGGGUGCGAGCGUUAAUCGGAAUUACUGGGCGUAAAGCGCGCGUAGGCGGCUUAACAAGUCACUUGUGAAAUCUCCGGGCUUAACUCGGAACGGCCAAGUGAAACUGUCAAGCUAGAGUGCAGAAGGGGCAAUCGGAAUUCUUGGUGUAGCGGUGAAAUGCGUAGAUAUCAAGAGGAACACCUGAGGUGAAGACGGGUUGCUGGGCUGACACUGACGCUGAGGCGCGAAAGCCAGGGGAGCAAACGGG